GGGAAGCCAAGCACGUUAGAUUUACUAGGGUCAUGUCUGCAGGUGAGGUAACAGCACACACAUACAGAAAUUCACGGGCAGAGAUGCCACCGCAGCAUCACCGUCAGACACCAAAGCAGCAGGAGGGCUCAGGAAGUGGCUUUGGAAAGUUCUCGUGAAAAUCAAAGGGCAGCUUUGGUGCUCAGAGAUUCAAACAGAAAACUAUACAAAACCAACCCAUAAAUAUAUAUAUAUAUAUAAUAUGUGUAUAUAUAUAAAAUUGCAAAAUAAAAGCCCAAGAAACUAACCACCGAUCUGCACGUCAGUGGCUCAAAAAGUGUUAGCAUAGAGAAAGGCAAAACCAUCUGUGGGGGUGAUGCAUACUCAAGGGGGCCGGCAUUUCAGUAGCAGAAAGAGUAUUUACAUGGAACCCCUAUUUGAAACCUCACAAUACUAGGAAAAGCUAAACACAGACAAUGUAUGUACAAGGGAAGACAGUAAGUACUCUUGCGUGACGAUUGUCAGACACAGACAUUUCACUGAAACCAUCCAUAGCUUUAGAGAACACUGCAUUCUAUCUAGACUGGGUUCCUGCUUGCCUGCACCCCAGCCAGGCGAUCUCAGGCUCUGGACCGUAUGUUCUCCCCCACCUGGCCUCUUCCCGGAGAGAGCAAACACUAAGAUGUUGGUUGCAGCAUAAAUUGCAGGAAUUUAAAGGUGGGGCAGUCCUUGGGUAUCAAUCAAUCACCCACAAAGCAGGACCAACAGGUGUGAGGUGGAGUGGAAGUGUGGGGGUGGGGUUCCCUGAAAUAUAUUCCCAUUUUAUAAUGUGUUUCAAGUGUGGCCACUCUGCCCUUGGUCCAAUUGCCAUCCUCCUUCUGAUUCACGUUAAAAGGGGAGAUCUGGCCUUUGGGUUUUUAAACAUUAUACAAGAUAAUUUGCUGGGGGAGAGAAGAGUUUAGGGUCUUUCUACAGUUAUUCUCCCACCACCCCCCAAACUCUUACGUUUUCUUUAAACUACCUAGAGAUAAGCAAUUUGCCGAUCACAGCUGGCCUCAGUUCGGGACACAGUGGGUGAGGAGAGGAGCCCAGGACCUGACUCUACUAGAAAACUGCCAGUGCUUUCUCACACUGAGCCUCAGACUCCAGCUCUGCCUGAACCCCUUCCCUGCACCAAUAAUGAUCAUUUCUCCCCCAUCUGCAGGCCCCAAUUUCCCAUAGCAAUGACCCAACUUUUGGGAAAAUCUAGAAGGUAAGUGGCACCAAACAUCAAUAUAGCCAAACCUAAUAUCACCUAAGUAUGAACCAAUGCGACCCAUUGUUUCUGUAUACAUAAGAACACUCCCAGCUGGAGAUUCUUCCUAAUUGUUCCUAAGAUGAAAAGCCUACAUUCUCAAGGGAAUUGUCUCUAUAAAAAUGAUGAAAGGUGUUCUCCACUAAGGGACACCCCACUGAAGUCCCCACACUGCUUCCCGGUGAGCGUGGCUGCUCAUUGUGAGAGGUAAAGGGAUGUUGGGCAUUCCUUGGUGACCGAGCUCUACGUGUGGUCUCUCAUUUAUGACAGAAAGUGUGCCACAUCUGAAUAGGUUGGUUAGACGGGGCUUCUGGAAGUAAUUACACUCCAUGUACGCUUUCUUAUGUUAUGGUGCAAGUGGAAAUGUGCACAGAUAACCAAUGUGCACAUUUCAUGAGUUUACAGUCACUACAGGCCUCUUACUUCUUGCAUUAAACUAUCCCUUUCAGAACAGAUGUGAAACAGAUGAUAGGCUGCAUCAGAGGUCGUGUUCACCAUUC
rnacentral:lncRNA from 10 species